GACAAGCGGGUCAAAUCAAGAUUCGUACAGUAAAAGGGGGUUAAAAAUAAUAAUAAAUAAAGAGAAAUAUUAUGGUUUCUAAGAAGGUUAAAUUUGAAUAGAGAAAAUUUAAUUUUUUGAUUUCUUAAUUUUGAGGCCCCGAAAUUUUAAUAUAAGACCGGGAUUAGAUACCCCGUUAUUUAAACAUUAAAUUUUAAUUUUUAUAAAAUAAUUUACUUGAGCAGUACGAGUGCGAGUGGGUAAGUUGACACUGGAUGGCCUACUUGCUUUUUCUUAAAACUCAAAGAACUUGGCGGUGCUUAAAAUCCUUCCAGGGGAACCUGUCCUAUAAUUGAUAAUCCACAAUUUAGCUUUCCUUUUAUUGAAAAUUUGCUAAAAUCAGUUUGUAUACCGUCGUCGUCAGAUUACCUUUAAGAGUGAUGAAGUCAUCAGGAGGAGAAGAAAUAUAAGCAUAACAGAUUUAUCUAAUAUAGUAAUAUUUAUCUCUUGACGUCAGAUCAAGGUGCAGCCAAUGAGAAGGUAGUGAUGGGUUACAGUAGCUAUUUGCUAUACGGAUUUCUUACUGUAAUAGUAGAUUGAAGGCGGACUUGGCAGUAAUUAGGGGAGUAAGAGAGCUCCGAUGAACA
rnacentral:rRNA from 1 species